rnacentral:rRNA from 1 species
CCUACGGGAGGCUGCAGUGAGGAAUAUUGGUCAAUGGUCGGGAGACUGAACCAGCCAAGCCGCGUGCGGGAAGACAGCUCAGAGAGUUGUAAACUUCUUUUGUACAGGGGUAAACCUGAAUACGUGUAUUCAGCUGAAAGUACUUUACGAAUAAGGAUCGGCUAACUCCGUGCCAGCAGCCGCGGUAAUACGGAGGAUCGAAGCGUUGUCCGGAUUUAUUGGGUUUAAAGGGUGCGUAGGCGGGUGGAGAAGUUAGAGGUGAAAUGUCCGAGCUUAACUCGGGAGCUGCCUCCAAUACUGUUGAUCUAGAGAGUAGAUGCGGUAGGCGGAAUGUAUGGUGUAGCGGUGAAAUGCUUAGAGAUCAUACAGAACACCGAUUGCGAAGGCAGCUUACCAAUCUAUAACUGACGUUGAGGCACGAAAGCGUGGGGAGCAAACAGGAUUAGAUACCCCAGUAGUC